GAUGAACGCUGGCGGCGUGCCUAAUACAUGCAAGUCGAGCGAACAGACGAGGAGCUUGCUCCUCUGACGUUAGCGGCGGACGGGUGAGUAACACGUGGAUAACCUACCUAUAAGACUGGUAUAACUUCGGGAAACCGGAGCUAAUACCGGAUAAUAUAUUGAACCGCAUGGUUCAAUAGUGAAAGACGGUUUUGCUGUCACUUAUAGAUGGAUCCGCGCCGCAUCAGCUAGUUGGUAAGGUAACGGCUUACCAAGGCGACGAUGCGUAGCCGACCUGAGAGGGUGAUCGGCCACACUAGAACUGAGACACGGUCCAGGCGCCUACGGGAGGCAGCAGUAGGGAAUCUUCCGCAAUGGGCGAAAGCCUGACGGAGCAACGCCGCGUGAGUGAUGAAGGUCUUCGGAUCGUAAAACUCUGUUAUUAGGGAAGAACAAAUGUGUAAGUAACUAUGCACGUCUUGACGGUACCUAAUCAGAAAGCCACGGCUAACUACGUG
rnacentral:rRNA from 1 species